rnacentral:lncRNA from 1 species
AUGGAAACAACAGUUGAUAGGUCUGUAGAAGACACGGCUUUGCUCAUUUCAAUACUGUGGUGCUGUACAACAUGGACGUUACCUGUGAGGCUGAAACUAAGCCUUAUACCAUUUCCUUUUGGAAGAAGAGAGGCAGCUAAAGAAAGUUUACCAGCUGAAGAAUCAAUUGUGCCAGAUAUUCCUCUGUCAACACCUUGAUUCCAGCAGAGGCUAUUUCUGCUCCUCAAACCAGCACCAGGGUUUGUAAGACAAACCUAAUAGCAGGAUGCCCAGGGCUACACACCUGAAAGGAAACUUUGUCUUUCCCCUAAUAAAUAAGAAAGAAAAGAGAGAAAUCGGGAAUGUUUGUAUUACAUAUCACUGGAUCAUUUUGAUUGAUUUAUUGCUUACUUUUUUCCAUCACUCCAUAAAGAGUGGGAGAGAAAGCUGAGUGGUGAAGGCUAGUGAAAGCGUUAAUCUUUUAUAUCCAUUCUAAGUGGUUCUUUAUUUGACAGAAUUGUUACCUUCUGGUGUGAGUGGUGUUUGCAUAUUUACUGAUCUCCUUUUUUAAUUGAGAAAGCACUAAUGCAUUAUAGCACAUUCUCUAUCCACAUGUAACUUUGUUUCUUUUUUUCUGAAUUUGG